GGGGCCUUGAGCCAUUUCUUUGCGUUCAUGUUGAACUCAACAUAGAAUUAUAAGGUUCUUGCUAAGUAAAAUGGGUCCGUUUAUACCUAGAGUCUAGCAACCAUUACACUCGCAGAUCACCGGAUAACUGCUAAGCUGGAGAUUUGGAGCCCUUAGCCGGCUCUGGAAGACAGGUUCUUUGCUGUUGUUCAUGGUUUCUCGGUGUGCUUGGAAAAACUCCUUUGGUCGUUCUUCCCCUCGAUGCUUGGGUGCUAGACGGUCCAGUGAAGGGAGACUUCUCCCUAGAAUUGUUUGCCAGGGUUUUCUUGUGUGGACCUUGGGCCUUGAUUGUGUUGCCAGCCUUUUCGGCCCUUUUUGUUCUGUAUGCUGCUUGGUGUUGGGGCGGGAAUUUUUA
rnacentral:misc_RNA from 1 species